rnacentral:rRNA from 1 species
UACGGAGGAUGCGAGCGUUAUCCGGAUUUAUUGGGUUUAAAGGGUGCGUAGGCGGACUGUCAAGUCAGCGGUAAAAUUGAGAGGCUCAACCUCUUCCCGCCGUUGAAACUGGUGGUCUUGAGUGGAUGAGAAGUACGCGGAAUGCGUGGUGUAGCGGUGAAAUGCAUAGAUAUCACGCAGAACUCCGAUUGCGAAGGCAGCAUACCGGCGCCCCACUGACGCUGAGGCACGAAAGCGUGGGUAUCGAACAGG